GCGCCCAUGGCCUAAUGGAUAAGGCGCCUGACUUCUAAUCAGGCGAUUGUGGUCUCA
rfam:Cajanus cajan CcLG11_246, whole genome shotgun sequence.